rnacentral:misc_RNA from 1 species
GUGAAUCAUCGAAUUUUUGAACGCAAAUUGCACUCUCUUCGGAGAGUAUGCCUGUUUGAGGGUCAGCCUAAAAAAAAAUCGACAUAGUCGCUGUUUCGCGGUGACAUUCGUCGGAAAUUGGGUCAUCUUAAACCUUUGGGUUUUAAGAGGCUUAAAUUUUUCUUUAUGAUUCCACGAAUGUUUUUAAGUUUUAAUUUUUUUAUGUUUAUGUUAUCGAUCUUUCUUCGACGUGUCGGUUGGAUCGGAC